AGAGUUUGAUCCUGGCUCAGGAUGAACGCUAGCGGCAGGCCUAACACAUGCAAGUCGAACGGUAACAGGAAUUAGCUUGCUAAUUUGCUGACGAGUGGCGCACGGGUGCGUAACGCGUAUGCAAUCUACCUUGUACUGGAGUAUAGCCCAGGGAAACUUGGAUUAAUCCUCCAUAGUCUAUUGAUAUGGCAUCGUAUUAAUAGUAAAGGUUACGGUACAAGAUGAGCAUGCGUCCUAUUAGCUAGUAGGUGUGGUAACGGCACACCUAGGCAACGAUAGGUAGGGGUCCUGAGAGGGAGAUCCCCCACACUGGUACUGAGACACGGACCAGACUCCUACGGGAGGCAGCAGUGAGGAAUAUUGGACAAUGGGCGGGAGCCUGAUCCAGCCAUGCCGCGUGCAGGAAGACUGCCCUAUGGGUUGUAAACUGCUUUUAUACGGGAAGAAUAAGUGUUACGUGUAGCACGAUGACGGUACCGUAAGAAUAAGCACCGGCUAACUCCGUGCCAGCAGCCGCGGUAAUACGGAGGGUGCAAGCGUUACCCGGAAUCAUUGGGUUUAAAGGGUCCGU
rnacentral:rRNA from 1 species